rnacentral:rRNA from 1 species
UACGUAGGCAGCGAGCGUUGUUCGGAGUUACUGGGCGUAAAGAGUGCGUAGGCGGUUUUCUAAGUUUGGUGUGAAAUCUCCCGGCUUAACUGGGAGGGUGCGCCGAAGACUGGAAGGCUUGAGUAUGGGAGAGGUAAGCGGAAUUCCUGGUGUAGCGGUGAAAUGCGCAGAUAUCAGGAGGAAUACCGGUGGCGAAGGCGGCAUCCUGGACCAUUACUGACGCUGAGGCGCGAAAGCUAGGGGAGCAAACGGG